UAUAGAAAAAGGAGGAGGAAAAAAAGGGAGCUUGACUACGAACGAACGCGAUGCGAAGUGUGUGAAGUUCAUGCAAAGCAGUAUGUAGCGAGUUGGUGUUUUGGACUGCCCACUCGACAGUCUUACCACAGAAUACCAUCCUGCGUACUUUUGUGAGAAGUUAGACAUUUCUUCCCGAAAUGUAUCGUAGCUCGUUUGCACACAGUGUGUUGUGUUAGCAUUCAUUAGCAAAGUGAAUGGACUCUUAGCCAGUAUAGCUAACUCAGCUGUAUACUAUUGCACUAGUUCACGGGUUAUCUGAAAGUUACAACUGCGAAGUCAAAGCUCUGAGUUCUUUAGAAAGAGGGACACCGACCACGCCAGUUUGGACGCAUGCUCGCACCCUUGUUCGACACCAGAGACCGAGAGACGACAGCGGCAGAGCGCGGGACACACCACGCCAUCUUUGGACACCUGCUUGCCCUUGUUUUGCUGGAGACCGGGAAAGACUGUGAACUCUGCACCGUGGAUUGAACUGUUGCCUAAGGCUGGAGUCACCAUGCCCUGUGAUGACUCGCCUGCCCACUCCCACAACUUUCUAUUAAAGGAAAAUCUGUGAGGAAGGCCAACCAACUAGCAGUAAAUGGAGCAGUGCAUCCGUGAGCACUAGGACUUUCAACACCAUCCGGCCGGCCCUGCUGGGUGAGAAGCUGGCAGCGAUCCAGGUGGAUGCCCCCCUCGUGUCCUGGAUUGUUGACUACCUGACUGUCAGACCACAGCAUGUGCGCCUGCAACACUGUGUGUCAGACAGCGUGGUCAGUAACACCGGGGCCCCGCAGGGGACGUCCUCUCUCCCUUCCUCUUCACCACAGACUUCAGCUACCACACAGUCCUACCAUCUUCAGAAGUUUUCUGAUGACUCUGCUGUGGUUGGAUGUAUCAGCAGGGUGACGAGGCUGAGUACAAAGCUGUGGUGGGGGACAUGGUGUGAGCAGAAACAUCUGUAGCUCAACGUGACAAAGACUAAGGAGCUGGUUGUGGAUCUAAGGAGAGCCAAGGCACCAGUGAGCCCUGUUUCCAUCCAGGGGGUCAGUGUGGACAUUGUGGAGGAUUACAAAUACC